GACGAACGCUGGCGGCGUGCCUAACACAUGCAAGUCGAGCGAAUGAAGUUCCUUCGGGAAUGAAUUUAGCGGCGGACGGGUGAGUAACACGUGGGCAACCUGCCUCAUAGAGGGGAAUAGCCUUCCGAAAGGGAGAUUAAUACCGCAUAAGAUUGUAGUAUCGCAUGAUACAGCAAUUAAAGGAGCAAUCCGCUAUGAGAUGGGCCCGCGGCGCAUUAGCUAGUUGGUGAGGUAACGGCUCACCAAGGCGACGAUGCGUAGCCGACCUGAGAGGGUGAUCGGCCACAUUGGGACUGAGACACGGCCCAGACUCCUACGGGAGGCAGCAGUGGGGAAUAUUGCACAAUGGGGGAAACCCUGAUGCAGCAACGCCGCGUGAGUGAUGACGGCCUUCGGGUUGUAAAGCUCUGUCUUCAGGGACGAUAAUGACGGUACCUGAGGAGGAAGCCACGGCUAACUACGUG
rnacentral:rRNA from 1 species